rnacentral:lncRNA from 1 species
CAUAGAUGGAAAUUAAAAAAAGAAAAAGGCAAAUGAUAAAAGAAAUAAAUACAAACAGAAAAUAUCGAUAUUUACGUGAUUUGGCAAUUGCCUACAUCUGUAGAGAGAGUGAGAGAGAUGUAUGCCAGUAUAUAUAAAGAAACAAAAGUAUGGUUUUACAUCUUAUGUCUUCUCCAAACUAAAAAUCGAAAGCUUUGUGAUAAAACCCAAUCUACUCUUCUUCCAACAAGAAACU